rnacentral:rRNA from 1 species
UACGUAGGGGGCGAGCGUUGUCCGGAAUUAUUGGGCGUAAAGGGCGCGUAGGCGGUUUGACAAGUCUUAUGUGAAAUCUUCGGGCUCAACUCGAAGUCUGCAUAGGAAACUGUCGGGCUUGAGUAUGGGAGAGGUGAGUGGAAUUUCCGGUGUAGCGGUGAAAUGCGUAGAUAUCGGAAGGAACACCUGUGGCGAAAGCGGCUCACUGGACCAUAACUGACGCUGAGGCGCGAAAGCUAGGGGAGCAAACAGG